UACGAAGGGGGCUAGCGUUGCUCGGAAUUAUUGGGCGUAAAGCGCGUGUAGGCGGCUUUGCAAGUCGGGUGUGAAAUCCCUCAGCUCAACUGAGGAAGUGCGCCCGAAACUGCAGAGCUUGAGUGCCGGAGAGGGUGGCGGAAUUCCCCAAGUAGAGGUGAAAUUCGUAGAUAUGGGGAGGAACACCGGUGGCGAAGGCGGCGACCUGGGUCGAGACUGACGCUAAUACGCGAAAGCGUGGGGAGCAAACAGG
rnacentral:rRNA from 1 species